rnacentral:rRNA from 1 species
GUAGUCCGCACGAGCGCACCCUCAUUUUUAGUUGCCUUAUGGAACUCUAGAAAGACUGCCGGUUAUAAACCGGAGGAAGGCGGGGAUGACGUCAAGUCAGCAUGCCCCUUACACCCUGGGCUACACACGUGCUACAAUGGGUGAGACAAUGAGAUGCAACUCUGCGAAGACAAGCUAAUCUAUAAACUCACUCUAAGUUCGGAUUGUAGGCUGCAACUCGCCUGCAUGAAGUUGGAAUCGCUAGUAAUCGCUGGUCAGCUAUACAGCGGUGAAUUCGUUCCCGGGCCUUGNACACACCGCCCGU